AAUCAACCGAGAUUCCCCCAGUAGCGGCGAGCGAACGGGGAGCAGCCCAGAGCCUGAAUCAGUAUGUGUGUUAGUGGAAGCGUCUGGAAAGGCGCGCGAUACAGGGUGACAGCCCCGUACACAAAAAUGCACAUGCUGUGAGCUCGAUGAGUAGGGCGGGACACGUGGUAUCCUGUCUGAAUAUGGGGGGACCAUCCUCCAAGGCUAAAUACUCCUGACUGACCGAUAGUGAACCAGUACCGUGAGGGAAAGGCGAAAAGAACCCCGGCGAGGGGAGUGAAAAAGAACCUGAAACCGUGUACGUACAAGCAGUGGGAGCACGCUUAGGCGUGUGACUGCGUACCUUUUGUAUAAUGGGUCAGCGACUUAUAUUCUGUAGCAAGGUUAACCGAAUAGGGGAGCCGAAGGGAAACCGAGUCUUAACUGGGCGUUAAGUUGCAGGGUAUAGACCCGAAACCCGGUGAUCUAGCCAUGGGCAGGUUGAAGGUUGGGUAACACUAACUGGAGGACCGAACCGACUAAUGUUGAAAAAUUAGCGGAUGACUUGUGGCUGGGGGUGAAAGGCCAAUCAAACCGGGAGAUAGCUGGUUCUCCCCGAAAGCUAUUUAGGUAGCGCCUCGUGAAUUCAUCUCCGGGGGUAGAGCACU
rnacentral:rRNA from 1 species